rnacentral:lncRNA from 1 species
CAAGAACGAAAGAGAGUUCUUGUUGAAAAACCCCACAUACCUUGAAUGAUGAACUUUAGAUCGAUACUCAUUUUUGAGAUGUUAAUCGUGCCUUUGAAUGAUGGUUCUUGGAGUUCUUGAACUACGAACUUGGAAUCUUGAAUAAAUUUGCAGAAUUAAUGGUGAACUUUGGAGGUUCUUGAAGUUGGAUGUAGGAGCUUAGGGUUUUC